CGGGGCGUGGCUCAACCUGGUUUAGAGCGCCUGGUUCGGGACCAGGAGGUCGGUGGUUCAAAUCCACUCGCCCCGACCA
rnacentral:tRNA from 1 species